AACGUAGGACACAAGCGUUAUCCGGAGUUACUGGGCGUAAAGGGCGUGUAGGCGGAUUGAUAAGUCUAUUCUGAAAGCUCCUGGCUAAACUGGGAGAGGCGAAUGGAGACUGUCAGUCUAGAGUGAGGAAGAGGAGAGUGGAAUUCCUGGUGUAGCGGUGAAAUGCGCAGAUAUCAGGAAGAACACCUAUGGCGAAGGCAGCUCUCUGGGACGGUACUGACGCUGAGACGCGAAAGCGUGGGGAGCGAACAGG
rnacentral:rRNA from 1 species